AGGAGAAGGAAGAACACCCAAACCCUUAUUUCAACAAAUUGAUCAAAAUGAAGGGUGAAUUGGGCUUGAAAUUACUGCAUGAAUCAAGAAUCUUGAUCACUCACACUUGUCUAACACUAGGCAACACAGUUGAGGCGUCGGGAAGUCAAGCCGGUGCGGAAACUCGUUUGAAGGGAAAUCUUUAAGCUUUUAGGUAAUUCAAGUACGUGGAUGAUGGUCAAGUCAAUGCUUCCGAACCGAACACAUUCAAGAUCACGUUCCACUACUUUUGUUAACACUUGUCAUUAGUAAAACUUAUGUAAUUAAAGGAACUAGUAAAUACUCCCGCGCUUCGCAGCGGG